rnacentral:rRNA from 1 species
CCUACGGGAGGCAGCAGUCGAGAAUCAUUCACAAUGGGGGAAACCCUGAUGGUGCGACGCCGCGUGGGGGAAUGAAGUUCUUCGGAUUGUAAACCCCUGUCAUGUGGGAGCAAAUUAAAACGAUCGUACCACAAGAGGCAGAGACGGCUAACUCUGUGCCAGCAGCCGCGGUAAUACAGAGGUCUCAAGCGUUGUUCGGAAUCACUGGGCGUAAGGCGUGCGUAGGCUGUUUCGUAAGUCGUGUGUGAAAGGCGCGGGCUCAACCCGCGGACGGCACAUGAUACUGCGAGACUAGAGUAAUGGAGGGGGAACCGGAAUUCUCGGUGUAGCAGUGAAAUGCGUAGAUAUCGAGAGGAACACUCGUGGCGAAGGCGGGUUCCUGGACAGUAACUGACGCUGAGGCACGAAGGCCAGGGGAGCGAAAGGGAUUAGAUACCCGGGUAGUC